rnacentral:rRNA from 1 species
CGUGUAGGCGGCCAGGUAGGUCGGUUGUGAAAACUGGAGGCUCAACCUUCAGACGUCGACCGAAACCAUCUGGCUAGAGUCCGGAAGAGGAGAGUGGAAUUCCUGGUGUAGCGGUGGAAUGCGCAGAUAUCAGGAAGAACACCCGUGGCGAAGGCGGCUCUCUGGGACGGUACUGACGCUGAGACGCGAAAGCGUGGGGAGCGAACA